UACGGAAGGCAGCAGUGGGGAAUAUUGCACAAUGGGCGCAAGCCUGAUGCAGCCAUGCCGCGUGUAUGAAAAAGGCCUUCGGGUUGUAAAGUACUUUCAGUCGUGAGGAAGGUGUUAAGGUUAAUAACCUUAGCAAUUGACGUUAGCGACAGAAGAAGCACCGGCUAACUCCGUGCCAGCAGCCGCGGUAAUACGGAGGGUGCGAGCGUUAAUCGGAAUUACUGGGCGUAAAGGGCACGCAGGCGGUUAAUUAAGUUGGAUGUGAAAUCCCCGGGCUUAACCUGGGAAUGGCAUUCAAGACUGGUUAGCUAGAGUCUUGUAGAGGGGGUAGAAUUCCAUGUGUAGCGGUGAAAUGCGUAGAGAUGUGGAGGAAUACCGGUGGCGAAGGCGGCCCCUGGACAAAGACUGACGCUCAUGUGUGAAAGCGUGGGGAGCAAACAGGGAUUAGAUACC
rnacentral:rRNA from 1 species